UGACCUCAGUCUAGACUGGGCGACCCGCUGAAUUUAAGCAUAUUAGUCAGUGGAAGAAAAAAACUAACCAAGAUUCCUUUAGUAAAUGUGAGUCAAUCAGGAGCCCAGUGCCAAAUCCCUGCCCCUUGAUGGGAUGUGGGAAAUGUGGCGGUAUGAAAGACUCACUCCCCAGCGCCACUUGUGGGGGCCCAAGUCCUUCUGAUUGAGGUCCAGCCAGCCUGUAGACGGUGUGAGGUUAUUAGCAGCCCUCGGCUGCCAGGCCUGGGUCUUCCCAGAGUCGGGUUGCUUGGCAAUGCAUGGUAAUGCAACCUAAGGAGGGUGGUAAACUCUAUCUAAGGUUAAAUACUGGCACGAGACCACAAUUGUCAAGUACUGUAAGAGAAAGCUGAAAAGAACUUUGAAGACGUGAACAAGAGGACAUGAAACAGUUAAGACUUAAAUGAGUAGGGUCCAUGUAGUUUGAUGGAGGAUUCAAACCGGCAGCGGGUGGGGCUGUGCCAGUGGUCUGGCGGAUCUUUCCUACCUCCCCUUCCUCCCAAAUCCUCCAAUCACCGUCCCUCCCCAGCCACCCCUCCUCCUCCUUAGAGGUGGUAGGCCCCAGCCUGUGCGGGGGUGAAUGGUUGGGCUGGUGGAGAGAGUUGGUGGGGGACUGUCCCCCAGUCGGCGACUGACCACCGCUGGGUGCAUUUCUACUGUGGUGCUGCGCCGUGACUGACUUUGGGAUGACUGGGAAGGCCGGGCAGGGAAGGUGGCCCGGGGGCCCUGUUCUCCCCGUCCCUCGGAAGAGGGGGCGGGGUGGGCUAUCCGCAGCAGCAGCACUCCCUGAAUCCCAGGGCUGAGAGAGUGAGACCCGUUGCCGUGCUCGCCCCUUCCUGGCGCCCACUCCAGUGGGGGCUACCCAUGAGGGGUUCCCCAGUGGGGUUGUGACAGCGUCCCUCUAGGGGGCUGGGUCACUCCUCCCACGGUAUAACUGCUCUCCUGCCCCUUCCCUGCCCCCAGUGAGGAGGCCGCAUAGGAGCGGGUGGGACUGACCGUGGUGUGCCCCAGGCUGGUUGUCCUGUCGGACCUGCGAGGUCUUUUCCGCCAUGCACUCCUCCCAAAAGAACAGUGGAACGAGUUGGAAUCCCGAGGCCUCUCCAGUUUGCCGAGGGUGCAUCACCAGCCAGUCUUGUCGGUCACACUGCAGAGGUGGAGCAAGAGAACAUGUUGUUAGGCCCCAAGAGAUGAUGAACUAUGCCUGGGCAGAGGAAGCCAGAGGAAACGCUGGUGGAGGUCUGUAGCAGUGCUGACGUGUAAAUUGGUCGUCUGAUCUGGGUAUGGGGCAAAAGACUAAUCGAAACAUCUAGUAGAUGGUUGCCUUUGAAGUAAUUCCUAAGGAUAGCUGGCACUUUGGCAAAAACCCCAUGCCACGCAGUUAUCCGGCAAAGCGAAUUGAUUUGUCUUGGGACGAAAACAAUCUUAACCUAUUCUCAAACUUUAAAUGGGUAAGAAGCCCGGUUUGCUGGUGUGGAGCCGGUCAUGGAAUGCUAGUGCCUAAAGGGCCACUUUUGGUAAGCAGAACUGGUGCUAUGGGAUGAACUCAACGUGGUGUUAAGGUGCCUGAUGCUGAUGUUCAUCAUACCCCAGAAAACAGUGGACAGCAGGACAGUGGCCAUGGAAGUCAGAAUACACUAAGGAGUGUUUAACAACGAAUCAACUAGCCCUGAAAAAUGAAUGGUACUGAAGCAUUGGACCCAUAUCCAGCCGUUGCCAAUGGUUAAGAGUGGACAGGAGUGGUGAGGGUUGUCGCCCCCGCUGGAGCCCUGCGGAUGCUAUGCUGCUAUGAGUAGGAGGACCUCUGUGGUGAGACUAAAAGCCUAGGGCCUGAGCCUGGGUGGAGCUGCCUCAGGUGCAGAUCUUGGUGGUAGUCGCGAAUAUUCAAAUGAGAAUUUUGAAGGAUGAAGUGGAGAAGGAUUCCAAUUGAACAUGGGUCAGUGGGUCCUGAGAGAUGGGCGUGUGCCCUUUUGAAGGGAUGGAUGAUGACUCCCGUUGCCCUCACUGAUCGAAAGGGAGUCAAGUUCAGAUUUCUGAAUCCAGAGUGGCAGAGAUGGGCGCCAGUGAGGGGUUCAGGGAGGUAGUGCAACUGAUCCUGGAGAAGCUGGUGGGAGUCCAGGGGAGAGUUCUUUUGUGAAGCGCAGGGCACCCUGGAAUGGGCUAACCCUGAGAGGGGCCUGUGCAUUGGAAAGCAAGGUGGUUCAGGCCCUUGAAAAUCUAGGGGAGACGGUAUAAAUCUCACACUGGGCUGUAACCAUAUCCACAGCAGAUCUCCAAGGUGAACACUCUCUGGCAUGUUGGAACAAUAUAGGUAAGGGAAAUCGGCAAGCGGGAUCGGUAAAUUCAGGACAAGGAUUUGUUUGCUCCAAGAGCUUCGCUGGUCCUGCUGGGGUGUGAAGCAGGGAUGGGUGCAGCCCUUGGCUGGAUGAGGCGGUGCUGCUCCUCCCCAGCACUAGGGACACCCCUCUGCAGCCAUCCCCCACCCCACCCCGCCCCUAUCUGCCUCUCCCCCAUCCCUCCCCCUUGCUAUUGCCAGUGCCUAGCAGCCAACUUAGAAUUGGUGCAGACCAGGGGAAUCCGACUAUUUAAAACAAAGCAUGAUGAAGGCCAGUGGUGGCUGUUGACACUAUGUGAAUUCCACCCAGUGCUCUGAAUGUCAAAGUGAAGAAAUUCAAUGAAGCCACUGGUAAAGGAUAGCAGUAACUAUGACUCUCUUAAGGUGUAGUCAAAUGCCUCCUCAUCUAAUUAGUGAUGCGUAUGAAUGGAUGAGCGAGAUUCUCACCGUCCCUACCUGCUAUCCAGUGAAACCACAGCCAAAGGAAUAGGGUUUGACCGAAUCAGCAGGGAAAGAAGACCCUGUUGAGACUGACUCCAGUCUGGCACGGUGAAGAGACAUAAGAGUUGCAGAAUAAGUGAAAAGCCCCCAGCAGCCUUCUGUCACUGUGAGGGGAUGGGGUGGGGUCCACCGGCCUUGUGGGCUGCAGGUGAAAUGCAACUACCCUGAUCAUUUUUUCACUGACCUGGUGAGGGGGAAGGGGAUGAGCUACAAGGAACUCUCACUUUUGGCGCCAAGCACUUGACCACGUGCUGGCUUGCUUGGUGUGACCUGCUCCAGGAAUAGUACCAGGUGCAGAGUUGGACUGGGGCGGUACACCUGUUGAAUGGUAAUGGAGGUGUAUGAAGGUGAGUGCAGGGAAUACAGAAACCUCCCAUGGAGCCAAAGGGCAGAAGCUUGCUUGCUCUUGAUUUUCAGUACAAAUACAGACCAGAAAGUCAGAUAUUGGUACUAACAGUGAGAGAAGAAGAAACUUACAUACAAGGAUAAACUUUUUUACCCUAUGAAGUAUAUCUAAAGAGUACACAAAUAAAGAUAUAGUCUUGCAAACAUUCUGCUACAUUAUGAUUUACAAAGAAAACAUUGGUCUUUGUUGCUCACUUCAAUGAAUAUCAUUCAUUGCCAUUUCCAGUUUGACCUUUUCCUUUAUUUUGUACAUAAGGACAGAGAUGAACCAGCCCCAGUUCAA
rfam:Chlorocebus sabaeus isolate 1994-021 chromosome 6, whole genome shotgun sequence.